GGAGAUAUAGUCAACCAUGACAUCUGAAUUGCACUCAGAUAGUGUUUCUUAACUGUCUUCA
rnacentral:tRNA from 1 species